rnacentral:rRNA from 1 species
UUGAACGCUGGCGGCAGGCCUAACACAUGCAAGUCGAACGGUAACAGGAAGAAGCUUGCUUCUUUGCUGACGAGUGGCGGACGGGUGAGUAAUGUCUGGGAAACUGCCUGAUGGAGGGGGAUAACUACUGGAAACGGUAGCUAAUACCGCAUAACGUCGCAAGACCAAAGAGGGGGACCUUCGGGCCUCUUGCCAUCGGAUGUGCCCAGAUGGGAUUAGCUAGUAGGUGGGGUAACGGCUCACCUAGGCGACGAUCCCUAGCUGGUCUGAGAGGAUGACCAGCCACACUGGAACUGAGACACGGUCCAGACUCCUACGGGAGGCAGCAGUGGGGGAUAUUGCACAAUGGGCGCAAGCCUGAUGCAGCCAUGCCGCGUGUAUGAAGAAGGCCUUCGGGUUGUAAAGUACUUUCAGCGGGGAGGAAGGGAGUAAAGUUAAUACCUUUGCUCAUUGACGUUACCCGCAGAAGAAGCACCGGCUAACUCCGUG